AUAAAUGGUAGAGAAUUGAGCCAUAUAUAAGAACAUGGGCUACUCCACUCAUUGUCUUUGGGCUUAGAAGAUGGAAUGUGGUGGAUGUGUGAAGAAUAUUUAGGAUUCAAAGUUAUUUGGAAUGACAGCUUGGGAGAAAGAUUCAAGAUGAAUUUUGAUUAGUCAGAGCUCCAAGAAGAUGAACAAUAUUUUCAAGGAUAUAUGUUCGCUAGUGGCUGUGAAGGAGUGUUCUAUUUUCAAACGGAUGGUACACAUAAGGGGUGCAAAAUUCUAAUUAGCCCUUUUUUCCAGCAGGUUUUAAUUCUACCUCAUAUCCUCAUGCCUAUGCCAUAUGAAAGGAGCAGAACAGCCCUUGAUGUUGGUAUUAGUGGCAACAAUAUAAUUAAAGUUGUUUGUGUCAUGAGUACUUUAAUGGCAACUACUAUUAGUAGCAUUGCUAAAGUUUUCACAGAAGGAGCUCAAGAAUGGAGGCCAGUAUCCUGCCCAAACAUGCUUGUAUGUACCCACACAAUACUUGUAUUUGAACAUGGUUUUAUAUACUGGAAUUUGGCUAAGAGCACCCAACUUCUAUGCUUUGAUGUAUGCAUGGAAAUUUUUACAUUUGUAGCUGCACCAUUAAGAGGUCUUCUAAUAGAUUUUUUUGGAAAAGUUGGAAUAUCAAAUGUUGUUGACGUUUUGGGAUUUGUAAUAAUAGAAAAUGAUGUAAAAAAAGAUGAUGAUGAAGAAUAAAAGGAUGAAGAAGAAGAAGAAGAAGAUGAAGAAAAAGUCCAAUUAGUUGAUAUUUACAUGUCAGAAUUAUAUGACAAUCAAAUGAAGAUAAAUAGUUGGAGUGUUACAUUUACUGUGACUUUACAACUAUCUUUGUGGUAACCUCAAGUGAUUGGAUAUGAUUUGGACAAGAACUUACUCAUAGGCAAUGGUAGAAGUCUUCUUUGGUCAUGCAAUCCAACAACGGGACAAUAUCAUGAUCUUCUUGAAAUGCCAAUGACACUUAAUCCAAGUACUACUAUAGAUGAGGAUGGCUAUGAAUUUAAAACUUAUCGUGGGGGUUUGCAUUCAUUGCUCAACAAUAUUGUGGGACCUAAUUUGUUGGAAAGAAUAUCAAUUCAACACGAAAGACGGAUGUGUUGUUGGAGCCGCUGUAAUUGAGCUCGCUGUGAUCGUGGAUGAAGGUGAGGAUCAUUUGUGAAUAUUGGGUGUUUGAAACUUUUUUUGGACUCUAAAUUUGUUUUUCUCAAUUUGAAUAGAUAUUGUUUUAUUAUUUCAAUAAAUUUUUGUUUAGAUUUUAGGUUUUUUGUCUCUGAAUUUGUAUGAAUAAAUGGGUCAGAACACUUUGAAUAAGCUUUUUCUUUUUCUUUCUCCUCCUGUAAUUUGGGUGUUUUUAUAAAUUUUUGUUCUUGAGUUUCUUGUUUUAAUAAUUUUCACUUGUGAUCUUGAAUAUUUUAAUUGAUCUUAAUGAGUUUUUAGUUGGAGAUUUUACAGUUAUAACAUUUGAGUAUUAAACUGUUCUUACACUUCAAAAAUUGUGGUUAUAUCCCUGAGUUUAUUACUAUUUUUCCUGUCACCAAAAAUAUUAACAACUACCUUUGCUUUCUUUACUUCUUUUCUUUGUUUCCAAGUCAAAAUCUCGCCCAAACCUCAAAACUUUCUCAACUUUCUUUCUUUCUAUAAAUUCAACACUCUAUAAUCUAUAGUGUAAGCGAACAUAACACAUUAAUGGUUUUUGGCCGAAUCUAAGGUUUUCUCUGUUUUAAGAUGUAUUUUUUUUUUCUUUAAUUUACUAUCACACUUUAUAUUUUAAAGAAUUUCAUUUUUUGAAUUGGGUAUGCUUUUGAAUUGCUAGUUUUAAUAAAGACAGGUUCUUUUCAAUCAUUUAUAGUCUUUGGUUCCUUAUCAAAUGAGUUUUGGGUUUAAAAGUGUGUUCAUAUAAGCUUAUGUUUCUUAGAAUCCUCAAUUUAUUUAUUGUUUUUGCUCCAUUGGUAUGCUAAUGUUGCCUUAAAUUAAACUUGACUAAUUUAAUUUUUUGUAUCAAAUGUUCAAUUUUUUUUAUUAUCUUAUCAUUGUGAAUUAUUGUUAUUAUCUUUAAUUGCUAAAGAGUGGAGUAGGGAUUAAUAAUCUUCUUUUUGAAAAUUUUAUUAGCUCUGGGAGAUACCAUGGAUUGCAUAGAGCCUAGGAAGAAGAUGUGAGAACGACUUGUACUGUAGUACUGUAGAUAAAGAUGGUUACGAGUUCAAAACUCAUUGUUCUACACUUACUUAAUCCGUUGGAAAGAAUAUGAAUUUGUAUAUUAUAUAUAUAAAGACUAAUGACUACGCUAAGAAUUCACUACCCCAUAUACGAAGGUAAAUAUCAUAUUUUUUUUUCUAUAAACUUAAACCAAUCAUUUGAAUUGAGAUGGAUUGUGGUGAUUGUAGUAUACCACAAUUCAUCUCAAUUAAAAUGAUUGGUUUAUGUCUAUAGAAAAAAAAAUAUGAUAUUUACCUUCGUAUAUGGGAUAAUGAAUUCUUAGCGUAGUCAUUAGUCUUUGUAUAUAGAAUAUACAAAUUUAUAUUCUUUUUAACGGAUUAGGUAAGUGUUGAACAAUGAGUUUUGAACUCGUAACCAUCCUCAUCUAUAGUACUACAGUACAAGUCGUUCCCACAUCUUCUUCUUAGGCUCUAUGCCAUCCAUGGUAUCUCUCAGAGCUUACAAAUUUUUUAAAAAGAAAAUUAUUAAUGACUACUCAACUCUUUAGCAAUUAAAGAUAAUAACAAUAAUUCAUAGUGAUAAGAUAAUAAAAAAAAUAAACAUUUGAUACAAAAAAUUAAAUUAACCAAGUUUAAUCUAAGGCAAAAUUAGCAUAUAGUAAAAGCAAUAGAUAAAUUUGGGGUUCUAAGAAACAUAAGCUUAUAUGUACACACUUUUAAACCCAAAACUCAUUUGAUAAGGAACCAAAGACUAUAAAUGAUUGAAAAGAAACUGUCUUUAUUGAAACUAGAAAUUCAAAAGUAUACCCAAUUCAAAAAAUAGAAUCACAGAAAAUAUAAAGUGGGAUAGUAAAUUAAAUAAAGGAAAAAUACCUCUUAAAUCAGAGAAAACCUUAGAUUCAGCCAAAAACUAUCAAUGUAUUAUUUUUGCUUACACAAUAGAUUAUAGAGUGUUGAAUUUAGAGAAAGAAAGGAAGAUGAGAAAGUUCUGAGGUUUGGACGAGAUUUUGACUUGGAAAGAAAGAAGGGAAGUAAAGGAAGCAAAGGUAGUUGUGAACAUUUUUGGUGACAGAAAAAAUAGUAAUAAAUUCAGGGAUACAAUCGCAAUUUUUGAAGUGUAAGAACAAUUUAAUACUCAAAUGUUAUAACUGUAAAAUCUCUAGCUAAAAACUCAUUAAGAUCAAUUAAAAAAUUCAAGAUCACAAGUUAAUAUUAUUCAAACAAGAAACUCAAGAAUAAAAAUUUAUGAAACACCCAAAUCAUAGGAGGAAAAAGAAA